UACGGAGGAUCCAAGCGUUAUCCGGAUUUAUUGGGUUUAAAGGGUGCGUAGGCGGCCUAUUAAGUCAGGGGGUGAAAGACGGUAGCUUAACUAUCGCAGUGCCUUUGAUACUGAUAGGCUUGAAUAUACUUGAGGUAGGCGGAAUGUGACAAGUAGCGGUGAAAUGCAUAGAUAUGUCACAGAACACCAAUUGCGAAGGCAGCUUACUAAAGUAUGAUUGGCGCUGAGGCACGAAAGCGUGGGGGAUCAAACAGG
rnacentral:rRNA from 1 species